UAACACGUGAGCAACCUGCCUUUCAGAGGGGGAGUAACAGUUGGAAACGACUGCUAAUACCGCAUAACGCUGCGAUGGGGCAUCCCGAUGCAGCCAAAGGAGCAAUCCGCUGAAAGAUGGGCUCGCGGCCGAUUAGCUAGUUGGUGGGGCAACGGCCCACCAAGGCGACGAUCGGUAGCCGGACUGAGAGGUUGAUCGGCCACAUUGGGACUGAGACACGGCCCAGACUCCUACGGAAGGCAGCAG
rnacentral:rRNA from 1 species